GUGUCAGCAGCCGCGGUAAUACGUAGGUGGCAAGCGUUGUCCGGAUUUAUUGGGCGUAAAGCGAGCGCAGGCGGUUUCUUAAGUCUGAUGUGAAAGCCCCCGGCUCAACCGGGGAGGGUCAUUGGAAACUGGGAGACUUGAGUGCAGAAGAGGAGAGUGGAAUUCCAUGUGUAGCGGUGAAAUGCGUAGAUAUAUGGAGGAACACCAGUGGCGAAGGCGACUUUCUGGUCUGUAACUGGCACUGAGGCGCGAAAGCGUGGGGAGCAAACAGGAUUAGAAACCCUUGUAGUCC
rnacentral:rRNA from 1 species